rnacentral:tRNA from 1 species
GGGCCGGUAGUCUAGCCUGGAUUACGCAAAAACGUCCAGAGAGGACGCGAGCCUCCGGAGCUUGCGGCACGGGUUCGAAUCCCGUCCGGCCCG